ACGGGUGCGGAACACGUACGCAACCUUCCUUUAAGCGGGGAAUAGCCCAGAGAAAUUUGGAUUAAUACCCCAUAAGAAUGUGAUCUGGCAUCAGGUAGCAUUUAAAGAUUUAUCACUUAAAGAUGGGCGUGCGUCUGAUUAGGUAGUUGGUGAGGUAACGGCUCACCAAGCCGACGAUCAGUAACUGGCGUGAGAGCGCGACCAGUCACACGGGCACUGAGACACGGGCCCGACUCCUACGGGAGGCAGCAGUAAGGAAUAUUGGUCAAUGGACGGAAGUCUGAACCAGCCAUGCCGCGUGGAGGAUGAAGGCCCUCUGGGUUGUAAACUUCUUUUAUCUGGGACGAAACACUUCUUUUCUAAGGAGCUUGACGGUACCAGGUGAAUAAGCACCGGCUAACUCCGUGCCAGCAGCCGCGGUAAUACGGAGGGUGCAAGCGUUAUCCGGAUUCACUGGGUUUAAAGGGUGCGUAGGCGGACAUGUAAGUCCGUGGUGAAAUCUCCGAGCUUAACUCGGAAACUGCCAUGGAUACUAUAUGUCUUGAAUGUUGUGGAGGUUAGCGGAAUAUGUCAUGUAGCGGUGAA
rnacentral:rRNA from 1 species